GGGUUUGAUCAUACCAGCACUAAAGCAUCAGAUUCCAUCAGAACUAUGAAGUUAAGAAAGCUUGGGCUAGAGUAUUAUUAGGAUGGGUGACCCCUUGGGAAGUUCUCGUGUUGCACACC
rnacentral:rRNA from 1 species